rnacentral:misc_RNA from 1 species
UGGGUGACUCUUAACAUUAC